GGGUUGUGAGGUUAAGCGAAUAAGCGUACACGGUGGAUGCCUAGGCAAUCAGAGGCGAUGAAGGACGUGCUAAUCUGCGAUAAGCGUCGGUAAGGUGAUAUGAACCGUUAUACCCGACGAUUUCCGAAUGGGGAAACCCAAUAUCCAAUGGAUAUUAUCAUUAACUGAAUACAUAGGUUAAUGAAGCGAACCGGGAGAACUGAAACAUCUCAGUACCCCGAGGAAAAGAAAUCAACCGAGAUUCCCCUAGUAGCGGCGAGCGAACGGGGAACAGCCCAGAGUCUUAAUCAAUAGCAGCAUCAGGAGAACGGUCUGGAAAGUCCGGCAGUAAAGGGUGAUAGCCCCGUAUCCGAAGAUGCUGUUAUUGUGAACUCGACGAGUAGGGCGGGACACGUGUUAUCCUGUCUGAAUAUGGGGGGACCAUCCUCCAAGGCUAAAUACUCCUGAUUGACCGAUAGUGAACCAGUACCGUGAGGGAAAGGCGAAAAGAACCCCGGCGAGGGGAGUGAAAAAGAACCUGAAACCGUGUACGUACAAGCAGUAGGAGCCUCUUUAUGGGGUGACUGCGUACCUUUUGUAUAAUGGGUCAGCGACUUAUAUUCUGUAGCAAGGUUAACCGUAUAGGGGAGCCGUAGGGAAACCGAGUCUUAACUGGGCGAAUGAGUUGCAGGGUAUAGACCCGAAACCCGGUGAUCUAUCCAUGGGCAGGUUGAAGGUUGGGUAACACUAACUGGAGGACCGAACCGACUAAUGUUGAAAAAUUAGCGGAUGACUUGUGGAUGGGGGUGAAAGGCCAAUCAAACCGGGAGAUAGCUGGUUCUCCCCGAAAGCUAUUUAGGUAGCGCCUCGUGAACUCAUCUUCGGGGGUAGAGCACUGUUUCGACUAGGGGGUCAUCCCGACUUACCAACUCGAUGCAAACUGCGAAUACCGAAGAAUGUUAUCACGGGAGACACACGGCGGGUGCUAACGUCCGUCGUGAAGAGGGAAACAACCCAGACCGCCAGCUAAGGUCCCAAAGUCAUGGUUAAGUGGGAAACGAAGUGGGAAGGCUCAGACAGCCAGGAUGUUGGCUUAGAAGCAGCCAUCAUUUAAAGAAAGCGUAAUAGCUCACUGGUCGAGUCGGCCCGCGCGGAAGAUGUAACGGGGCUAAACCAUGCACCGAAGCUGCGGCAGCAACACUAAGUGUUGUUGGGUAGGGGAGCGUUCUGUAAGCCUGCGAAGGUGUACUGUGAGGUAUGCUGGAGGUAUCAGAAGUGCGAAUGCUGACAUAAGUAACGAUAAUGCGGGUGAAAAACCCGCACGCCGGAAGACCAAGGGUUCCUGUCCAACGUUAAUCGGGGCAGGGUGAGUCGACCCCUAAGGCGAGGCUGAAAAGCGUAGUCGAUGGGAAACGGGUUAAUAUUCCCGUACUGGUGGUAACUGCGAUGGGGGAACGGAGAAGGCUAGGUUGUCCGGGCGACGGUCGUCCCGGUUCAAGCAUGUAGGCAGAGUGAUUAGGCAAAUCCGGUCACUUAAUGCUGAGGUGUGAUGACGAACCACUAAGGUGGUGAAGCAAUUGAUGCCCUGCUUCCAGGAAAAGCCUCUAAGCUUCAGGUUACCAACAAUCGUACCCCAAACCGACACAGGUGGUCAGGUAGAGAAUACUCAGGCGCUUGAGAGAACUCGGGUGAAGGAACUAGGCAAAAUGGUGCCGUAACUUCGGGAGAAGGCACGCUGGCGGUAAGUGAAGUCCCUUGCGGACGGAGCCGAAGCCAGUCGAAGAUACCAGCUGGCUGCAACUGUUUAUUAAAAACACAGCACUGUGCAAACACGAAAGUGGACGUAUACGGUGUGACGCCUGCCCGGUGCUGGAAGGUUAAUUGAUGGGGUUAUCCUUAGGGAGAAGCUCUUGAUCGAAGCCCCAGUAAACGGCGGCCGUAACUAUAACGGUCCUAAGGUAGCGAAAUUCCUUGUCGGGUAAGUUCCGACCUGCACGAAUGGCGUAAUGAUGGCCAGGCUGUCUCCACCCGAGACUCAGUGAAAUUGAACUCGCUGUGAAGAUGCAGUGUACCCGCGGCAAGACGGAAAGACCCCGUGAACCUUUACUAUAGCUUGACACUGAACAUUGAGCCUUGAUGUGUAGGAUAGGUGGGAGACUAUGAAGUGUGGACGCCAGUCUGCAUGGAGUCAACCUUGAAAUACCACCCUUUAACGUUUGAUGUUCUAACCUAGGUCCAUAAUCUGGAUCGGGGACCGUGUCUGGUGGGUAGUUUGACUGGGGCGGUCUCCUCCUAAAGAGUAACGGAGGAGCACGAAGGUUGGCUAAGCAUGGUCGGACAUCAUGCGGUUAGUGCAAAGGCAUAAGCCAGCUUGACUGUGAGAGUGACGGCUCGAGCAGGUACGAAAGUAGGUCUUAGUGAUCCGGUGGUUCUGAAUGGAAGGGCCAUCGCUCAACGGAUAAAAGGUACUCCGGGGAUAACAGGCUGAUACCGCCCAAGAGUUCAUAUCGACGGCGGUGUUUGGCACCUCGAUGUCGGCUCAUCACAUCCUGGGGCUGAAGUAGGUCCCAAGGGUAUGGCUGUUCGCCAUUUAAAGUGGUACGCGAGCUGGGUUUAGAACGUCGUGAGACAGUUCGGUCCCUAUCUGCCGUGGGCGUUGGAAGAUUGAGAGGGGUUGCUCCUAGUACGAGAGGACCGGAGUGAACGCACCACUGGUGUUCGGGUUGUCAUGCCAAUGGCAUUGCCCGGUAGCUAAGUGCGGAAGAGAUAACCGCUGAAAGCAUCUAAGCGGGAAACUUGCCUCGAGAUGAGUCUUCCCUGUCACCUAGAGUGACCUAAAGGAACGUUUAAGACUAAGACGUUGAUAGGCUGGGUGUGUAAGCGUAGCGAUACGUUGAGCUAACCAGUACUAAUGAACCGUGAGGCUUAACCUGACAACACCGAAGGUGUUU
rnacentral:rRNA from 1 species